GAGCCGGGCUUCGUCACGCUGUACCGUUGGAUCGUAGGCGUAUAGAACUAGCCCCCUGUAAUUACAGGACCUCACGAGGUUUUUUUUGUCAAUUUCCUUCCACAUUUUUUUUACUAGGACUAUUUUGUAAAGAGAAAAAAAAUUCCAGCCCCAGAUG
rnacentral:sRNA from 1 species